AACUUCUUAGGCAUGGUUUUCACUUUGUUGGUACCUGAAUCAAAGGGAAAAUCAUUAGAGGAGAUGUCAGGUGAGAACGAGGAUGAUAAUCAACCUGGAGAGCAAAGUUCAUAUAAUAGCAGGACAAUUGCAGUUUAGACUCGUUCAGAAGCCAAUUCUCUGGAAUAAUGCCUGUAUAAGUCUUCUUGAUUUUGGCAAGAAAAUCUUGACCCUUUUUUUCCUUGUUUUUUCCUUUUAACUUUUUCGCUUUCUCUGUCUAGUAGUUCUCUUCCCCACUCUUGUAGUAACUUUGUGCUGGAACUAAGGACAAUAUUAUAAGAGAUAUUCACUUUGGCC
rnacentral:misc_RNA from 1 species